rnacentral:tmRNA from 1 species
GACUGGAUUUGACAGCGGCAGGAAAGGUGCGCAAGCAUGCAGUGCUUCGGUAGUUUGCACUAUAAUCUGAGCUAUCAAAAAUUUAAUUGGCGAAAAUAAGUACGCUCUCGCUGCUUAAUCGAAGUACAGUAGAUUGGCUUUAUCCUUUUACUAGGUAAGAGGACGAGACAUCACUCAAAAGCUGUGGUUCCGAAGCGUUUUGAAUCAGUGGUGCAGUAAAAUCGGAAAUAGCUUUUGCCGGCCUCGCGGUGAAGGUGAAGUUUAAGAGGAUAAGGUGCGGGUUGGUGGCUCCGGUCUUGCUCGCGCUCGAAAACGAAGGCGGAGAUAAGCAUGUAGAAAACGUAUUGUUUCGCCGUUUGGACGAGGGUUCGACCCCCUCCUGGUCCAC